rnacentral:rRNA from 1 species
UACGUAGGGCGCAAGCGUUGUCCGGAAUUAUUGGGCGUAAAGAGCUCGUAGGCGGUCUGUCGCGUCGGCUGUGAAAACCCGGGGCUCAACCCCGGGCCUGCAGUCGAUACGGGCAGACUAGAGUGUGGUAGGGGAGACUGGAAUUCCUGGUGUAGCGGUGGAAUGCGCAGAUAUCAGGAGGAACACCGGUGGCGAAGGCGGGUCACUGGCCCGAUACUGACGCUGAGGCACGAAAGCGUGGGGAGCAAACAGG